rnacentral:rRNA from 1 species
CCGUAGGGUGCGAGCGUUAAUCGGAAUUACUGGGCGUAAAGCGUGCGCAGGCGGUUUUGUAAGACAGGCGUGAAAUCCCCGGGCUCAACCUGGGAACUGCGCUUGUGACUGCAAGGCUAGAGUACGGCAGAGGGGGGUGGAAUUCCACGUGUAGCAGUGAAAUGCGUAGAGAUGUGGAGGAACACCAAUGGCGAAGGCAGCCCCCUGGGUCGAUACUGACGCUCAUGCACGAAAGCGUGGGUAGCAAACAGGAUUAGAUACCCUGGUAGUCCACGCCCUAAACGAUGUCAACUAGGUGUUGGGAGGGUAAAACCUUUUAGUACCGGAGCUAACGCGUGAAGUUGACCGCCUGGGGAGUACGGCCGCAAGGUUA